GCUCUUCUCAAUUAAUUUUCUUCUUAAAAUUUAUUUUAAAAAGUUAAAAAAGAAAGGGGAAAAAAUCCUGACAUGAAAAAUAGAGAAGAAAGGCAGUACACAGUAAAUCGGAAUGAAAAAUUAAAUAUUGAAGCUAGUUAUCGCAUAACCAUUUUUAUUAUCAUGUAAACUUCCUUUUAUUUUUAGAUAAACCAAAACAUGAACGUCUUAAUUAGUCUAAUAAAUAGCAAGAGUUUAAG
rnacentral:misc_RNA from 1 species